GUCCAGUAUCCACCUGUGCUUUUAGCCCUGGUUUUGAUCUUCGCCAUCUCCUGAGGAAUAUAUCAAGCUGUGGAGGUGGAGGGUGAGGACGUACUUUGGAGCUGGAACUGGUGCCGGAGCUGUUUCGGAGAAGCCAUCAUCUUUAGCCUGCUCCAAGCUGGUUUUGUACUCUUCUAGAUAUUCUGCUGGAACAUAUACUGCGGGUGAAGCACGGCAGCGAACGGACAGAACGGAGACAAGAGAGGGGAAACCAAGAUGGCGGCUUCCUGCUGAUCGAACGCCAGCAGCGUGGAAGUUAAGUCAUACUCACACAUAAAAUGGGCACAGAUCGUCCUCGGGUGAACAAGCAGAUCUAGAACGUGAAGAGUUGGCUUUUAUGCACGGAAGCGAACACGUUGCCAAGUUUAGUUCGGCAAGCAGAACUCAUAAAAAACACCACAUGGAAAUUUAACCUCGAAAAGGAUUGGGAGGGAAACCCUGACUGCAUCAUAUGGCUAAUGCAGUAAUUGUGCUAUGCAGUUAUUUGUAUUCUGUAUAUUCUGUC